ACGGCAGACGAGCCGGGCGGACGGCCGCGUGGAGUCCCCCCUCCUAGGGGGCUUCCCGAGGAACGUCCGGGCUUCACAGGGCAGGGUGGUGGCUAACGGCCACCCGGGGUGACCCGCGGGACAGUGCCACAGAAAGCAGACCGCCGGGGACCUCGGUCCUCGGUAAGGGUGAAACGGUGGUGUAAGAGACCACCAGUGCCCAGGGUGACCUGGGCAGCUAGGUAAACCCCACCCGAAGCAAGGUCAAGAGGGAGUACCUACCAGGGUUAGGCAAGGGCUCCUGCGCGGACGAUCGAGGGCUGCCCGCCCGAGUCCGCGGGUAGACCGCACGAGGCCGGUGGCAACACCGGCCCUAGAUGGAUGGCCGUCUCCCCGGCCGCCGCGAGGCGACCGGGUGACAGAACCCGGCGUACAGCCCGACUCGUCUGCUAGAUGGAUGGCCGUCUCCCCGGCCGCCGCGAGGCGACCGGGCGACAGAACCCGGCGUACAGCCCGACUCGUCUGC
rnacentral:RNase_P_RNA from 1 species